AAGAAUACAAUCAAUUCAGCUCGAUGGUUGUAAGUAUGGGCCCUUAUCAGUAUGAAAAACGACCUGAACUGUGCGUCUCAUUUGGCAGCCAAUUAUCAGUGCUAGAUGUACAGGUGGUGUAGAGGUCGUGUAGCAAGCCUUUGCGCGUAAUGGCCACAGAAUUGGAUCUUCAUAUGCGUCGCAAGGAGAUACAGUAGAGUCGUCUAACGCUGUGGACGUUGUGACCGUUAUAUACGAC
rnacentral:lncRNA from 1 species